rnacentral:rRNA from 1 species
GAAUGACUCUCGGCAACGGAUAUCUCGGCUCUCGCAUCGAUGAAGAACGUAGCGAAAUGCGAUACCUGGUGUGAAUUGCAGAAUCCCGUGAACCAUCGAGUCUUUGAACGCAAGUUGCGCCCGAAGCCAUUAGGCCGAGGGCACGCCUGCCUGGGUGUCACAC